rnacentral:lncRNA from 1 species
UUGAUGGUGGUCAUCUUUUCCCAGGUAUAUACCCUGGCUGCUAUCCCGAAGAUGUCUUCCACUGCAGGAAGGACACAAGGCUUCUUCAUGUGAGCUUCCCACCUGACGAGCAGUUGUCAUUUUCUAUGGCACUCCCUCUUACAUGUAUCUACACCAUGGGAACAACGGGUCUCCAAAGCAGGGGAAAGUGUCAUCUGUGUUCUAUGGCAUUGUGAUUGAUCUGCAGCCUGAGAGUCCAAGAUGCGAGAGAAGCUCUAAAAGAAAAAGGAAAGAAGCAGUUCUAGAUUGGGCCUCAGUUUC